AAGUCGUAACAAGGUUUCCGUGGGGAGGAAGGAUCAUUAACACCCCCCGUGAACCUUCAGUGUGCUCGUACGCUUUGUUAGAAAGUAGCAAUCCCUGAAAUCAUCGCCGAACAGUUUUGAUUCAGGGACUUCUGCGAAUUGUCUGAAAGUGUCAAGGGUGGCGCAGUCACGAUCGCUAGAGGCCGACACAGUCGGCGACCGGGUCAGGGCUCACGCCCCUUAAUAACCAUUCAUGAAAACGGGCUAAUUGUGCGGCCAUAAACCGAACAACUGUUAACAAUGGAUAUCUUGGUUCUC
rnacentral:misc_RNA from 1 species